rnacentral:rRNA from 1 species
UACGUAGGGGGCAAGCGUUGUCCGGAAUCAUUGGGCGUAAAGCGCGUGUAGGCGGCCCGGUAAGUCCGCUGUGAAAGUCGGGGGCUCAACCCUCGAAUGCCGGUGGAUACUGUCGGGCUAGAGUGCGGAAGAGGCGAGUGGAAUUCCCGGUGUAGCGGUGAAAUGCGCAGAUAUCGGGAGGAACACCAAUGGCGAAGGCAGCUCGCUGGGACGUGACUGACGCUGAGGCGCGAAAGCGUGGGGAGCAAACAGG